rnacentral:rRNA from 1 species
GAAUCCCGUCUUUGGCACGGAUGUACCGGGGCUUUUGUGAUGCGCUCUCGAAGAGUCGAGUUGUUUGGGAAUGCAGCUCAAAAUGGGUGGUGGGCUCCAUCUAAAGCUAAAUAUUGGCGAGAGACCGAUAGCGAACAAGUACCGUGAGGGAAAGAUGAAAAGCACUUUGGAAAGAGAGUGAAACAGUACGUGAAAUUGUUGAAAGGGAAACGCUUGAAGUCAGUCGCGUCGACCGAGACUCAGCCUCGCCUCGGCUUGGUGUACUUCUCGGCUGACGGGUCAGCAUCAAUUUUGCCCCUUGGAUAAUGGCGAGGGAAAUGUGACACCUUUGCGGUGUGUUAUAGUCUCUCGUCGCAUGCAAGGGUCGGGAUUGAGGAACUCAGCACGCGCCUUUGGGCGUCGGGGCUUUGCCCACGAUACGUGCUUAGGAUGCUGGCGUAAUGGCUUUAAACGACCCGUCUUGAAACACGGACCAAGGAGUCUAACAUGCCUGCGAGUGUUCGGGUGGAAAACCCGUGCGCGCAAUGAAAGUGAAAGUUGGGACCUCUGUCGUGGAGGGCACCGACGCCCGGACCAGACCUUCUGUGACGGUUCUGCGGUAGAGCAUGUAUGUUAGGACCCGAAAGAUGGUGAACUAUGCCUGAAUAGGGUGAAGCCAGAGGAAACUCUGGUGGAGGCUCGUAGCGAUUCUGACGUGCAAAUCGAUCGUCAAAUUUGGGUAUAGGGGCGAAAGACUAAUCGAACCAUCUAGUAGCUGGUUCCUGCC